AUGAACGCUGGCGGCGUGCCUAAUACAUGCAAGUCGAGCGAACGGACGAGAAGCUUGCUUCUCUGAUGUUAGCGGCGGACGGGUGAGUAACACGUGGAUAACCUACCUAUAAGACUGGGAUAACUUCGGGAAACCGUAGCUAAUACCGGAUAAUAUUUUGAACCGCAUGGUUCAAAAGUGAAAGACGGUCUUGCUGUCACUUAUAGAUGGAUCCGCGCUGCAUUAGCUAGUUGGUAAGGUAACGGCUUACCAAGGCAACGAUGCAUAGCCGACCUGAGAGGGUGAUCGGCCACACUGGCACUGAGACACGGUCCAGACUCCUACGGGAGGCAGCAGUAGGGAAUCUUCCGCAAUGGGCGAAAGCCUGACGGAGCAACGCCGCGUGAGUGAUGAAGGUCUUCGGAUCGUAAAACUCUGUUAUUAGGGAAGAACAUAUGUGUAAGUAACUGUGCACAUCUUGACGGUACCUAAUCAGAAAGCCACGGCUAACUACGUG
rnacentral:rRNA from 1 species